UCUGUUUCUUCCUCUGUACAUUUCUAUGAAGUGAAGUCACGUGAUUCAGACGUGAAACCCCCCCCCGCCCAGCAGAGACGGUUUAUACAUCUGUGAACUGCAGUUUCGCUUUCAAUAGAUGCGAGACUGAGGUUGCUGCAGUCCUCCCUGCACAGCCUGAGCGACGAAAUGAAAAUCCAAGUCAAAGUCGUUGGACCCACUGGAGACAUAAAGAUCAUCGACCUGUGCUCCAGUGAAGAAGAGAUGGGGAAGAUCACAGUAGAGCAAUUAAAAAAGAAAAUUAUUCAAGAAUUCACGAUAAAUACUGGGAUCAAGGUGGAGUUCGGAGGGGAAGAACUGGAGGACUGGAGCACGUUGUCAUCCUGUCAGAUAGUACACAUGUCCACCAUUCAUACAAUGCUGCUGAUGCCGGGUGGUCUCUGAUCUGACGGGGGCUGGAGAAAAGGCCCUCAAUGAUGUGCUAUUUUUCCCCCUUGGACAUUUUUAAUGACUUGAAUGUAAAAGUGAUCUGCCUGCAUUAAAAUGAAAAUCAAACAUCA